AUAUCAAUAAGCGGAGGAAAAGAAACUAACAAGGAUUCCCCUAGUAACUGCGAGUGAAGAGGGAAAAGCUCAAAUUUAAAAUCUGGCUGUUCUUGUAGCAGUCCGAGUUGUAGUUUAGAGAAGUGUUAUCCGCGCUGACCUGUGCAAAAGUUUCUUGGAAAAGAACAUCAUAGAGGGUGACAAUCCCGUCUUUGGCACAGACUACCAGGGCUUUUGUGAUACGCUCUCAACGAGUCGUGUUGUUUGGGAAUGCAGCACUAAAUGGGUGGUAAAUUCCAUCUAAAGCUAAAUAUUGGCGAGAGACCGAUAGCGAACAAGUACCGUGAGGGAAAGAUGAAAAGAACUUUGAAAAGAGAGUUAAACAGUACGUGAAAUUGUUGAAAGGGAAACGCUUGAAGUCAGUCGCGUCUUCCAGGGAUCAAGUUACCUUUGGGUGACCGCACUUUCUGGUUGAUGGGUCAGCAUCAAUUUUGACCAUUGGAUAAAGGCCCAAGGAAUGUGGCAUCUUCGGAUGUGUUAUAGACUUGGGUUGGAUACAAUGAUUGGGAUUGAGGAACUCAGUGUGCCUUCAUGGUUGCACUUAGGAUGCUGGCAUAAUGGCUUUAAUCGA
rnacentral:rRNA from 1 species